UCCCCCGUGAGGGGGCAGUCUCGCCUGACAUAUUAAACAGGCAACGAGGGUUGCGUUCGUUACCCCACUGAAGGGAACAACUCAAGCCACGAACUGACGACGACCAUGCAUCACCUGCCAAGCCGCCUUGCGGGGGAUCCCGUUUCCGGGACCUUUCGUCUUGGUUUCAAACCCUGGUGAGGUUCUUCGUUUGUCAUCGAAUUGAGCCGCAUGAUCCACCGCUUGUGCAAGUCCCCGUCUAUUCCUUUGAGUUUUAAUCUUGCGAUCGUACUACCCAGGCGCACAACUUAACGCGUUAGCUUCGCCUCACAGAGGGUCGAUACUCCGUAAAGCCAGUUGUGAUCGUUUAGGGCGUGGACUA
rnacentral:misc_RNA from 1 species